UCCCCGUAGUCUGCUUGCUCACCUGCACAGUGCGGGUCGUUUCUCUUGUUCACAGGGAAGGGGAUGGACACUGAAGGUGACCCUUUUUCACCCUGUGAUGGCACAGGCUCCUGGGAUGACAUACCUGCUGUGCCUCUUCUCUCUCCAGUCUCUUCUUGGCCAUCUCAUGGUUUCCAUGCUGUCCUCUUUGUUUUUUGUGUGUGUAUGUGUUUUUUNUUUUUUUUUUUUUUUUUUUUUUGUCUUCCUUGUAUUGCACACAUGCCUUUCUAACUGCCUGCUGGGUACACCGGUCCUGCCAGAAACCAGAACUUGGUGUAUGUCGGGCCGAGUUCAGCCUCGUCCCUCUCUAAUCUUCUCUGUGUCCUCACGUUCUGCCAGAGGCUCCCCCCUCUUCUCUGGACUGUGGUUUUGUCUGUGGCCUAACCUGCCCUUGGCCUCCCUGGCCCAUCUUCUCCCUCUCACUUAACCAGAUGGUCAUCCCGGUCUCCUAACCAGCCUUCCUGCAGUGCCCCCAACGGUGGCUUGUCACCACAUCCUCCUGAAGCAGAGCUCUGGCUGUGUUGCUGCCCUGCUCAAAAACACAAAGUGGCUAUUACCGCUUUUCAAGAAUAAACUAGAGAAUUCUUAUCUUGGGGUUCAGCGCUAUCUAGGAUCUUAGAUUCCAGCUACGUUUCUACCUCUUCCCUUACUUAGCACCCCUCGGGAGUAGGGACCAUCUUUGUCAGGUCUUUGUUAUAAUCUCUAGCCCGUCAUCCGGCCUAUCACAGCUCAGUUUGAUGCUGUUGCAUUAAACUCUCGUUCCUUCCUUCAUGCGUCACAACGUCUCUGCUCAUCGAAAUGGGUCCAAAGCUUUCCAGCCCGGGCACAAACCCCAUCUCCUUCUCUAGCCUUUCUGGGUGUAUUGUUCCCCUGGCUUCCCAUCGGAAAUAAGAUGCCUCCCUUUGAACUCCCAUCCAAAAGAAGUGUGGAUAAAACUUGAUCAUACUAUCAUUUCUGGUUAUUUCUUCACCAAGGCACCCUAGGUUUUCGUGGUAGGCUCUGGGUGCUGUUCAGUUCUAUAGCCUUCUCUCCUCCACACCUCCCUCCCCACAGCCCAGCACGGUGUCCUGGACAUUAUAGGUGUUCUGUGAAUUGGAACUCGUUGCUCCGUGAAUUGGAAGUUGUCUGAUGGAUGGCGAUCUUCCUGCGGUGGACUGAGCUUUCUGAAUAUCUGCGAUGUGCUACUAAGGGUUGGUUAACCAUUGGGGCAAAGCUGGCAGUGAGGCGGAACCCAGAAAGUGGGCCCAGGUUCGGGUAUUGCCAAAGCAGAGCCACCUUAGCUUUGGUGCUUUUUCUUUUUUUUUUCUGUUCCCCCCCCCCUUUUGUCAGUGCCAAGUUUAUCUUAAUUGGCAUCUUUAUCAUGGCAGGAUAGUCCAGGCAGGAGCAAAGGGCUGGGGACGUGCAAACACCACGUGAAGUGAGGUGGCCGGGCCCACACACAAGGCCUUAUUGUGCAGGAGCAGGUCUUCACAUGCCACUGCCUGUCUUUGCCCCCUGGGUGACAGUGAGCAGGCUCCAGUGGCAGGGGCUCGUAGGAUCCUCCUCCCCUUCCCUGGCCCUCCAGCACCCCCAGAGGGGACCCACCUUCCAAGGAGAAGCAGCCCUUGGGGAAAGGGAGGCAGAGAGAGCUUUGCUGGGAAUGGCGGCAGGGCUGGGGAGGGGGAACAUUCGCUGGUUCUCCAGUUGGGGUUUUCCUAUGGGUUAAGGGAACCUAGAAGGGGCUGAUGCUGAGGAAAGGGCUCAGACAGGACUCCCCUUUGCCCCUGCUCGCCUGCUGAGGGCAGUGGUAUCACUGCAUCAAUUUCUGUGCCUCACUUCAGUAACUAGGGAGCUCCUUGAGGGUGGGGACCAUGGCCUUUUCUUUUCUAUUCUCCGCCCACCCCCUUAUCUGGCCACCCCACCGCAUAUGGAGUUCCUGGGCCAGGGAUCAGAUCUGAGCUACAGCCGGGAUCCUUAACCCACUGUGCCAGCCGGGAGUCAAACCUGUGUCCCAGCGCUCCAGAAAUCCUGCUGAUCCUAUUAUGCCACAGCAGAAGCGCCUCUUUUCUUUACCCCUGUGCCCAACCUGGCACAAGGUAAUGACCCAUGAUGUGCUCAGUGGGUUGUAGAAGUGCCCCUGAUCCCUGAGACCCAGGGAGGAAUCAGCCUGCUCUAGGCUCCUAGAAAUCUUUACCUCUCCACACUGGGCUUGGCCAGGGAGAGACAGAGCCUGCUGAGUUAGCUGGAAGGAGGCAGAGGGGAUGAUGAGGUAGCCGCAGCCCCAAAGUGCCCACUGGGGAAUUGUCCCUUUGCAUCUAUGCUGUGUGUUCUCUGCAAGAUUCAUGAACCUGGGGCAGGCAUGAGCCAGAUCUGGAGACCAGAGGGUUGAGGGGUUGGGGGGCUGGUGGGGGGAGGGCCUGGCCAGUCCUCCCCCUUUUCCUCCUUUAGAUUUGGCAGGUAAAUUUCCAGGUGUUUGCAGUGAGAAGGUCCAGGGGUUUUCUAGGCACCCAGUGGCAGGUGUGAGUCGAUGACUCCACUUGGGGCCUCCCUGGGGGCAGCUAGCCAGGCUCAGGGCAGGAAGUGUCUGAUUCUGGGUCACUUGGCUGUUCUUGUUGCUGCUGAGAUUGUUCCUAUAGCCAAGAUCUUUGAUCUGGAAAGGAUAGGAGAAGAGCAUCCAGUUCAGCUCCUGACCUUCUGGCAAGAAGAGGGGUAUUAAUAUUCUCAGGUCCAUUUCAUGGGCAGGUAGCUGAGGCCCAGAAUGAUGGACCCACCUUAUAACUUAUAAGUCCUUGAAUGUGGCUCCUUCUGAUCGUUUCUUUUGGUCCUGACCAUGACUCGCUGUGCAUGGUUGGGGAGAGAUCGUGCUUCACUGACAAGGUGCAUUUUCUGUGGGGCGAGGCCAUCCUUGUCACUCGAGGCUUGAGAGGGCCAGCAAGGAUGUCCUUGCUCUAUAUUUGGGGCCUCAUGCAGAGAGGGUGGUAGGAAGACAGGGCGGCCUCUUGAACUUUGGGGUUCCUCUGAGUUGAGACCUUGCCUGGCUGGCCCCAAGAGGCUGUUGGUGGCUUGGGAAGCAAAGUAGGGAUGCCUGGCCUAGCCAGAGCUCCCGAGUUUCCCUCCACCAGCUCCACAUCACAGAAAUGCCUGGACUUCCUGGUCGUAAGAGGGGAGUUUUGGGAGUUCUGUCGUGGCUCAGUGAAAACGAAUCUGACUAGCAUCCAUGAGGAUGCAGGUUUCAUCUCUGGCCUUGCUCAGUGGAUUAAGGAUCCAGCAUUGCCAUGAGCUGUGGUGUAGGUCACAGAUGAGUCUUGGAUCCCACAUUGCUGUGGCUGUGGGGUAGGCUGGCAGCCGCAGCUCUGAUUCAACCCCUAGCCUGGGAACCUCGAAUUGCCAUGGGUGCGGCCCUAAAAAGAC
ensembl:lncRNA